CCUACGGGAGGCAGCAGUGAGGAAUAUUGGUCAAUGGACGGAAGUCUGAACCAGCCAUGCCGCGUGCAGGAAGACGGUUCUAUGAGUUGUAAACUGCUUUUGUACAAGGGUAAACCUGAAUACGUGUAUUCAGCUGAAAGUACUGUACGAAUAAGGAUCGGCUAACUCCGUGCCAGCAGCCGCGGUAAUACGGAGGAUCCAAGCGUUAUCCGGAUUUAUUGGGUUUAAAGGGUGCGUAGGCGGAUUGUUAAGUUAGAGGUGAAAUGUCCGGGCUCAACUCGGGAACUGCCUCUAAUACUGUUGAUCUAGAGAGUAGGUGCGGUAGGCGGAAUGUAUGGUGUAGCGGUGAAAUGCUUAGAGAUCAUACAGAACACCGAUUGCGAAGGCAGCUUACCAAUCUAUAUCUGACGUUGAGGCACGAAAGCGUGGGGAGCGAACAGGAUUAGAUACCCGAGUAGUC
rnacentral:rRNA from 1 species